rnacentral:rRNA from 1 species
GUGAUUGCAGGACACAUUGAACAUCGACAUCUUGAACGCACAUUGCGGCUCCGGGUCACUCCCGGAGCCACGCCUGUCUGAGGGUCGGC